ensembl:snoRNA
AACUUUCCGUAGUUCGUGAGCAUGAUGACUGGGCGUUCACGCCGUUGUGGGACCCGCGCCUCCCCAGACCCCGUUACAGCCUCGGCACGCGGCCCGCUGGCG